GAUCAUGGCUCAGGACGAACGCUGGCGGCGCGCCUAACACAUGCAAGUCGAACGAGAGAUGAGGAGCUUGCUCUUCAGAUCGAGUGGCUAACGGGUGAGUAACGCGUGAGGAACCUGCCUCAAAGAGGGGGACAACAGUUGGAAACGACUGCUAAUACCGCAUAAGCCCACGGCUCGGCAUCGAGCAGAGGGAAAAGGAGUGCUCCGCUUUGAGAUGGCCUCGCGUCCG
rnacentral:rRNA from 1 species